rnacentral:rRNA from 1 species
UACGUAGGUGGCAAGCGUUGUCCGGAUUUACUGGGUGUAAAGGGCGUGUAGGCGGGUUAGUAAGUCAGAUGUGAAAUACCGGGGCUCAACUCCGGGGCUGCAUUUGAAACUGCCAAUCUUGAGUGCUGGAGAGGAAAGCGGAAUUCCUAGUGUAGCGGUGAAAUGCGUAGAUAUUAGGAGGAACACCGGUGGCGAAGGCGGCUUUCUGGACAGUAACUGACGCUGAGGCGCGAAAGCGUGGGGAGCAAACAGG